rnacentral:rRNA from 1 species
GACGAACGCUGGCGGCGUGCUUAACACAUGCAAGUCGAACGGAAAGGCCCUGCUUUUGUGGGGUGCUCGAGUGGCGAACGGGUGAGUAACACGUGAGUAACCUGCCCUUGACUUUGGGAUAACUUCAGGAAACUGGGGCUAAUACCGGAUAGGAGCUCCUGCUGCACGGUGGGGGUUGGAAAGUUUCGGCGGUUGGGGCUGGACUCGCGGCUUAUCAGCUUGUUGGUGGGGUAGUGGCUUACCAAGGUUUUGACGGGUAGCCGGCCUGGGAGGGUGACCGGCCACAUUGGGACUGCGGUACGGCCCAGACUGCUACGGGAGGCAGCAGUGGGGAAUAUUGCACAAUGGGCGGAAGCCUGAUGCAGCAACGCCGCGUGCGGGAUGACGGCCUUCGGGUUGAAAACCGCUUUCGCCUGUGACGAAGCGUGAGUGACGGUAAUGGGUAAAGAAGCACCGGCUAACUACGUG